UACGAAGGGUGCAAGCGUUACUCGGAAUUACUGGGCGUAAAGCGUGCGUAGGUGGUUUGUUAAGUCUGUUGUGAAAGCCCCGGGCUCAACCUGGGAAUGGCAAUGGAUACUGGCAAGCUAGAGUGCGGUAGAGGGUAGUGGAAUUCCCGGUGUAGCGGUGAAAUGCGUAGAGAUCGGGAGGAACACCAAUGGCGAAGGCAGAUCUCUGGGCCGUAACUGACGCUGAGGAGCGAAAGCAUGGGGAGCGAACAGG
rnacentral:rRNA from 1 species